rnacentral:rRNA from 1 species
AAGGUGCUGCAUGGUUGUCGUCAGCUCGUGCCGUGAGGUGUCGGGUUAAGUCCCAUAACGAGCGCAACCCCUAUCGUUAGUUGCCAGCGGAUAAUGCCGGGGACUCUAGCGAAACUGCCGGUGUAAACCGAGAGGAAGGUGGGGAUGACGUCAAAUCAGCACGGCCCUUAUGUCCAGGGCUACACACGUGUUACAAUGGUCGAUACAAUGGGCAGCUACAUGGCAACAUGAUGCUAAUCUCCAAAGUCGAUCUCAGUUCGGAUCGGAGUCUGCAACUCGACUCCGUGAAGUUGGAUUCGCUAGUAAUCGUAUAUCAGCAAUGAUACGGUGAAUACGUUCCCGGGCCUUGUACACACCGCCCGUCAAGCCAUGGAAGCUGGGGGUA